GGAGUCUGGGCCGUAUCUCAGUCCCAAUGUGGCCGUUCAACCUCUCAGUCCGGCUACUGAUCGUCGCCUUGGUGGGCUGUUACCCCGCCAACAAGCUAAUCAGAUAUGAGCCCAUCUUUCAGCGGAUUGCUCCUUUGGUAUCCAGGUGAUGCCACCCAAAUACAUUAUGCGGUAUUAGCAGUCGUUUCCAACUGUUGUCCCCCUCUAUCAGGUAGUUUCCCAAAUGUUACUCACCCGUCCGCCACUCGUCAGCUAGAAAAGCAAGCUUUUCUACUGUUACCGUUCGACUUGCAUGUAUUAGGCCUGCCGCCAGCGUUCAUC
rnacentral:rRNA from 1 species